AUUGAACGCUGGCGGCAGGCUUAACACAUGCAAGUCGAGCGGAGAUGAGGUGCUUGCACCUUAUCUUAGCGGCGGACGGGUGAGUAAUGCUUAGGAAUCUGCCUAUUAGUGGGGGACAACAUUCCGAAAGGAAUGCUAAUACCGCAUACGUCCUACGGGAGAAAGCAGGGGAUCUUCGGACCUUGCGCUAAUAGAUGAGCCUAAGUCGGAUUAGCUAGUUGGUGGGGUAAAGGCCUACCAAGACGACGAUCUGUAGCGGGCCUGAGAGGAUGAUCCGCCACACUGGGACUGGGACACGGCCCAGACUCCUACGGGAGGCAGCAGUGGGGAAUAUUGGACAAUGGGGGGAACCCUGAUCCAGCCAUGCCGCGUGUGUGAAGAAGGCCUUAUGGUUGUAAAGCACUUUAAGCGAGGAGGAGGCUACUGAGACUAAUACUCUUGGGUAGUGGACGUUACUCGCAGAAUAAGCACCGGCUAACUCUGUGCCAGCCGCCGCCGUAAGAC
rnacentral:rRNA from 1 species